GACGAACGCUGGCGGCGUGCCUAAUACAUGCAAGUCGAACGAAGUGGCGAACGGGUGAGUAACGAGUAAUCAACCUGCCCUUCAGAGGGGGACAACAGUUGGAAACGACUGCUAAUACCGCAUACUGAAGGAGGGGAUUGAGUCGGAUUAGCUAGUUGGAGGGGUAACGGCCCACCAGGGCGACGAUCAGUAGCCGGUCUGAGAGGAUGAACGGCCAAAUUGGGACUGAGACAGGGCCCAGACGCCUACGGGAGGCAGCCGGGGGGAAUCGUCCGCAAUGGACGAAAGUCUGACGGAGCAACGCCGCGUUAGUGAUGACGGCCUUCGGGUUGUAAAGCUCUGUUAAUCGGGACGCGGUACCGGAAUAGAAAGCCACGGCUAACUACGUGCCAGCAGCCGCGGUAAUAC
rnacentral:rRNA from 1 species